rnacentral:rRNA from 1 species
AGUGAACGCUGGCGGUAGGCCUAACACAUGCAAGUCGAACGGCAGCACAGUAAGAGCUUGCUCUUACGGGUGGCGAGUGGCGGACGGGUGAGGAAUACAUCGGAAUCUACUUUUUCGUGGGGGAUAACGUAGGGAAAUUUACGCUAAUACCGCAUACGAUCUACGGGUGAAAGCAGGGGAUCUUCGGACCUUGCGCGAUUGAAUGAGCCGAUGUCGGAUUAGCUAGUUGGCGGGGUAAAGGCCCACCAAGGCGACGAUCCGUAGCUGGUCUGAGAGGAUGAUCAGCCACACUGGAACUGAGGCACGGUCCAGACUCCUACGGGAGGCAGCAGUGGGGAAUAUUGGACAAUGGGCGCAAGCCUGAUCCAGCCAUACCGCGUGGGUGAAGAAGGCCUUCGGGUUGUAAAGCCCUUUUGUUGGGAAAGAAAAGCAGCAGGUUAAUACCCCGCUGUUCUGACGGUACCCAAAGAAUAAGCACCGGCUAACUUCGUG